UUUUAAAUGCACUGCCUCACCACCAUUUACAUCAUCUAACAGCUACCUGACAGUCCCAUGGCCACUAUGAAAUACUUGGCUCUAGCUUUAUUCUUUUGUGUGCUGCCUUCAUACGCAAAUGGAGCGUGCUACGUAAAACCCAUGAAACCAGGUAUGACCCAUUGUCAGGAUGACGUGGAUAAGACUUGGCACACUAGGAUCCAAAUGGAGGAACAGUGCAUGUAUGGACUGCACCUGCGAUGAAUGCUGCCAGGCGUAUUCCACCCCAGUCCAAUUCCCCGAUGACUGCGUGUCAGUGUUUGAUGCAGGAGCAUGUGAAUACAAAGUUCACAUGAGGGAUGACCCCUCCGCCCCAUGCCCCAUUUUCUCAGCUGUAGGAAAGUGAUGGAAUAAUUGUUCUGCCCUGCUAUGACCUUACUUGGUUUGCAUGUUCCCUUAUAUGUUUCUCAAUAGAAUCCAUUUUAAUAACCGAAUAAAUGAA